ensembl:snRNA U6 U6 spliceosomal RNA
AUGGUCAUAUGAUCACCACAUAUACUGAAACUGGAAUGUUACAAAGGUUAGCAGGACCCCUCUACAAAGAUAACAUGUAAACUCAUGAAAUUGUCCUUGCUUUU